AAUUUCAAUAAUGAAGAACAAUUGGUUGGAAGUGCAGUUGAGAGAAUACUAGAUAGAAGAAAAGGAAUGGACAAUAAAGAGUCAAAACAUCAAUUGCACUUUUUCGAUCUAUCAGCCAUUGUGUCUAUUUCUGUGAUCCAGUGGGUACUAUCACUUUGAUGGGAUUUGCUAGAAAAACAGCGGGCCCCGACCCCCCACUCAUUGGUGGGGUUCGGUUAGGGGGCCUAUCAACCCCCUGUUUUUCUAGCAAAAUUUCCCUUUGAUUGGGGCUACCCAUAGUUAGCACAACUUGGUAUGGAAUAGCUGUAACGCAAAUAAAAAUAUUUCUAUUUUCGAGGUGGGGAUGAAGAGAAUAAUUUUUUUGAGAAUGUAC
rnacentral:lncRNA from 1 species